GCCGUCGUGGCGUAAUGGUAGCGCGUUGCUUUCCUACUCAAAUCUCGUGAUUGAGGCAAAGGCUGUGGGUUCGAGUCCCACCGUCGGUA